AUCUAGAGAUGAACAAUCAUCAAAUAAAAUGCAUCAUCAUCGAUAUUGUAUAAGACUAACUUAUUUGAUGAUCACCGAUUUAGGAUGGCAGUUGUCAAAUUCUGCACAAUAUUUUGCGGUGCAAAUUGCACCGCCACUUUCAAACAAUCUUUUUGUUCUCCCUCUUCCCCGCACGAGGCCGGUCAGUCAGUCUGCUACUUUUUGCAAACCCGAC
rnacentral:lncRNA from 1 species